ACUACGGCUGUAGCUGCAGUAAAAUGGGUGAUGUCAAAGAAAACUAUCUUGAAACAUUUAUUUCCAAUCCCAAAUGGAGUUUUAUAUUGUGUUUGUCAUAAAUCUACAUAUUCUCCUCUACCAGAUGACUAUAAUUGUAAAGUAGAACUUGCCCUGACUUCUGAUGGCAGGACAAUAGUAUGCUAUCAACCUUCUGUGGACAUUUCAUAUGAACCACAAAACCUAUCCCGCGGCCAGAUCCUGUGCAUAAUAAUGAAGAAACACAUGAUCAAAUCCUGAAAACCAGAUUGGAAGAAAAAGUUGAACCCCUUGAGCAAGGACCUAUGGUAGAACAACUUAGCAAAAUGUUCUUUACUACUAAGUACCACUGGUAUCCUUAUGGACGGUAUCACAGAUGUCGUAAGAAUCCGAAUCCUCCAAAAGACAGUUGAUGCUGAGGUUCCUGGGAGAAUCAAAGAGAAAUGUGCCUCAUUUGCAAUUUGAAAAAAUGCCGUCUGGUGUAUUCACUAAUAUGUAGUAAAGUAAUAAUAAUAAAAUAUCUUUUCAUAUA